rnacentral:rRNA from 1 species
AAGUGAUGAGGCUACUGGGAAGAAGAAAGAGGAAAAGUGCAAGAUGAAUAGCCAGUGCAAUAUAUAUACAUGUAUACUUAACGGAUAUGGAAUGGUUGGCGAAGUAAAUUUUUGACGACGCGGUAUGCGGAGUUGUAAGAUGUACUACGAUCGUAUAGUGUACUGCGGCAAAAUGUUAGUGCAGGAAAGCGGGAAGGAAUAAGAAGCAACUGAACGAGGGUGUAGAAAAAGACGAAGAGGAAAGGAUUAACCGUAGAAGAGAGGGAAAUGGAGGGAAGAGAACAAAACCGGAGUGUUUUUUUUUUUUUGUAGGAAUAUCGGAGGAGAAUAUUGUUUGUACAUAUCAAGUAGUAGCAACCCAAUGAGCAUAAUGGAGUGCUUAACUCUUCAGAAGAAGAGUGCAGCUGGAUAGUGCGAAUUUUUCUGAAUCGAAUGGUAGGUUAGUUAUGGGAUUUAGCAUAGGAAGCCAAGAAACUAGAAGAAAAAAAAAAAAAAGAAAUAAA